UUUGAAAAAAAUAUCGACUUUGACUCAUCUCCAUCAACCCAGUGGAAAAAUGGGGUUGAGAAAAGGAAAAAAAGAAGCCUGCCUUGUUGCCUCCAAGGAUGAACCUGUUCUGUGGGUCAGGAUCCAUUCCAAGAGCUGCCCAGUUGGCAAGUGUGACAUGACAGGAUAGAGAUGAAGAUAUUCACAGGAGGUCAUGCCUUCCAUUUCUGUGGAGCCUCCACUCCCAAGGAAGAAGAUGGAAAAGAUUGAAGCUUUUACCAUACACUCUUGAGCAUUGCAUGCUUCUGCUACAGAGGAGGUUCAUGAGAUUUGUGUUACAAUGUAGGCCAGCCCUUUUUAUUUAUUACUGGCUUCUUAAGACCAAAGGCUGCACUCCUUCACAGUCCAGUACACCUUCCAUCUGCAGAUCUCAGCACAUGCUAUAUUCCUCAGUUGGUCCUCCAGGCCUCCUGUGAAAGAGGCCAUGAUUGCUGUUCCCACUUGGAAGAGGAGGAUGCCAAGACCCAACCAAGGUUUUAGUUGAUUUGCCUACAAAGAAAUGAAAAUAGGUGAAGCCUCAGUCUUCCACUUUGUCUCUUAGAAAACAUUCUCCUUCCCUGGAGACAGAGGGAAGGUUCUGAAUCGGAUCCAAGCAUGGCCCUUUGGACCCCCCAUAUCUGACCCAACUGUUCUCCAGGACAUCGGGAACCCUCUGCAGUUUGAACCAACUGCUGCGCUUUCUUCUGCUGGCUUUCUUGCAGCCCUGCUAGCUGGGUGCUGGGAGAGGAAUGCGAGAAGCUGGCUAGUGUGCAUGCUGCUCAGCCAAACAGGAACUCAGAGGAGAAGCUCUCUCUGGAAUGCUGUGGCCCAUGUUAACCAGUUCCAGAUUUACACAGCUCACGUCACUGCCCGAAAUGAGAAAUGGGCCUUGCUUACCCAUGGCAAAACAUAGCAACGGCACAGCAGUGCUGGCUGCAGCACAAAAACCAGUUUUUCAGGCUGUCUCAGGCUUCGCAGCGGAGUAGGAGGCAAGGUUUCUGGGAACUGGCUUAUGGUACUGUCACCUCCACUAUGAGGCUGGGAUGAAAGCCCCAAACUCUUCUUGUUCUGAAGGGUCACAGACACUGGAGAGCUGGUACCUGUCCAUGGUACAGGGGGUGCACCGUAGAGCCUAAUGCACUCUGCCUGGGGGUAGGGAAGGCCAGGGAUGGGGGUAGUGGAUCCAACAGGGGCUCUAGCUUCUAGGACAGGGAGCAGGAACAUUGUAUGGCAAGGCAAGGUUUCCAGUGCUGCUCCAUGGUCCAGAUCAUGCUGCACCACACAGGCAUAGCUCAUGAGCAGGGUGUUAAUCUCUGAACCUAGGAUUUCUGGACAUUCAAAGCAUCUCCUGUGCCUUUCAGGGGCUAGGAUGGGCCAAGGAGGGGUUACUUCUUGCCUAAACAAAAGGUCCUACUUCAGUAUUUUGGUUAGGGGAUUCUUAUGCUGUGUGAGCUGCUUGAUUGGGCUUGAAGCAAAUUCCAGAAUCAAGUCCCUGUGAGCAGUGGGGGAGUAGCAAUUCGGACCUGUAUGUUAAAGUGGUACCUAACUCCAUAAUAGGCCAAAUCAAACUGGAGCUUAAUUUCCUGGAUUGAGGAAGGUCAGAUGUGGAUGGUCCAGGCCCAUUUCUAAAAUGAGUACGGGCAGGUGACUGCAUGUGGUUGAAGGGGUGAGAGUAAAAGUGGCACUAAUCCAAGCCAGGCCUAAGAUUCAGCUAUAGUUUACUGAGGUUCUGUAUGUGAGUGAAGCUUAGAGAGAGACAAAGGACCCAUUACCCUAUCCAGCCUGGGUUGAUUUGUGUGACUAGCCACCCUCCAGAAUGAGAAUGAGUUACCAGUCCAUCUCAUGAAGCAGUCCUUCAGGACUUCCUGUGAAUCUGGGGAAGGAAUUGGGACAACAAAGCAAGCGUUUACAGUUGUUUCGAGAGAUGAAGGACUGAGAGGAGGGCAUAUCAGGAAAUCCAAGCUACCAGAAUGCAUCUUAUCACCUGCUUAGUCUGGAAUACUCUGCCUCCAUCAGGAAUAUUGAGGGUACCCAACAUAGUGCGCCAUUCCAACCCACUGCGCAAUGUUGUACAGGGCAGGGAGAAGUUUUGAGAGAUCCUGGACUGUGGAUGCCCAGCCUCAGGAGCUGUGGUUGUCACCAUCAUGGCUUCAAAUGUUAUUAUUAGCUAUAGAAAGAAAUAUUACUUUAAAAAAAAACAAAAACAAAAACACCCACAUACAUUGGCUCCAGAGUCCAGAGAGGCCAUGAAGUCCCAUGGUGGUUACAUGCUACAGGACACCUCAUUUCCUUUUAUUGCCUCUAAACUGGCUGGUCAUUUAUAACUUUCACAUCAAUCCCUUAGUUUUUGUAUUUGGGAAUGGCAUAGAAAGGGUGGGAUGGAUCGGCUUUCAUCCUCCUGCUCAGCUUGCAUAGCACCGUCACACUCCUUCCAGCACUUCCUGUUUCCAUCCUAAAUAACCCAGGUUUGUCUCAUCUAUCAUCACAUGGCAACUUGAGCCCCAUCCUAUUAACUGCCUCUGUUGCCUUUUUUUUCUAGGCUGCAUUGGGCUCCUUUCUGCAAGUACCUUUAGUACCAUGAGAGUGAAAUGUAAUCCUGGGAGAGUUUAGUUUCAGUUUUGCGUCAAAGUGCCCGCCCAUCCAGGUGUCCCCAAGGUACCAGGAAAUGGAGGUUCAAAUUAUUGUAGAACUUUUAAUUCAGGGAAGAACCCCACCCUACGCACACACCAAAAACCUACAGCAGUAUGUAAAGGCUGAAAGGGAGGGGGUCUAUGGGCACCUAUAGACAUGCCAGAUGUCUGCUCUGGUGCGUGCUAAUUAGCAUAUGCUGGAGCAGACUCAAUUAGUCAAGCUUACUGAAGUGUAUUAAUUAGCAUGCUCCAGCAGUCUCUACAUCACUUGUAUGCAGUAUCUCUGUGUUUCACAGUGGUGGUAGGGGUGCUUUAAUUAAAUCUCAUGUAAUGAGCUUUAGUUAAAGCAUCCCUGCCACCAUUUUGAAGAGUGGGAUGCUGAAUACAUGUGACACUGCAGGUGCUUUAGUUAGAGCUGCUCUCAGAGCCACUUUAACCCACUUCCACUCCAGAGCAUGGGUAAAGAUGUCCUAUAUUUCUGCAUGCUGGCACAGUUGGAUUUCCAUGCAUAUUGUCAUGUGCAAGAGUAGAACAAUGAUUCUCUGUGUCUUCACUUCGUGGGUGAUGGGGUAUUCUCAUAGAUAGGGCCCUGGCCUAAAAGCUCUUACCUUUACAAUGCCUCCUACCCUUUCCCUCUUUAGACAGUAAGUUCUUCGAGGCAGGGUCUGUCUCUCAUCACACAUUUAUCCAGUGUCCAGCAAAAUAGGCCCUGUUUAGGAUGAAGGAGACAGGAGGCAGUAUUAGCAAAAAAUCUUCAACUGAAACAAUGAAUUAAGUUCCCAUUUCAUCUAUAUACCAGUGUAACAGGAUCCCUCUCCAUGAUGCCCCUGGAGCCCCCUCAGCCCUUGCCAACUUCACUGUCUUUUGAGCAAUCUUCCCUUCCCCUCACCUGCCACACCUUGAUGUAUUUAUCUUUAAGAAAGGGGGAGGCUGCCCCAGGGCUUCCCAAGCCUGAUCUCACACUCCCAAGCUCAGGUGUCUCUGUCGCAGGGCACCUUAGUGCCUGCUCCUAGCGAGGAGAAACUGCCAGGGAGAGAGCCCUGGCAGAGCCGAUUGAGCGCAGCUGCGGGUUGCUGGAGCAACUAAGGGGAGCCAGCUGGCCAGAAGGGGGCAGGGCCUGGCCUUUGUAAAGCCCAGGGCUGAAGCCAGGCUAGCAGUUCUCUGCCAGCAGCCUGGGAGGCAGGAGCUCUGGGAGUGAGGAUGUGGAAAGGAGCAUGACUUGCAAGUACAGCUCAUGAUAGCCCUGAGAGGAUGGGCACUAGGGUUUAGCCAGGGGGCUUUAGGUUUGCGUUACAGCCAGGAGGCUUGAGUUUGUUUGGCUUUGUUAUUACACCCGGAGGCUUGGGUGAGGCUGUGGGGGUUGGAGGAGGCCUCAAUUAUAGGGACCCCAGAGAGUGUGGGGUGCCCUAGCACCAAGAGGGCACAUUAUUUGCAUAGCGCCAGGGAAGGCGCAGCUCGCACGCCAGUGCGUGAGCAACUGACGGCGAGGAGCGCGGCCAGUGGGUCGCGGGCGCAACCCGUAGGUUGCAGACGGGGGACCGAGACUCCGGAUUGCGUGCGGGGUACAUAGACCCCAGCCCCAGAGCGAGGGGCAAUUUCAUUGAGAAGCCCAGGGUGGGCACGGCGAGCCCCAAAGAGGGGGAGCGCCACAUUGUAUUCUUGAGAAGCCCCGUGGGGGCACGGCGAGCCCCAAAGAGGGGGAGCGCCACAUUGUAUUCUUGAGAAGCCCUAGAGAGGGGCGAUAUGGAGCAGCCCUAAGGAGGGGCCAUACUGAGGAGCCCUAGAGCGGGGCGAUACUGAGGAGCCCGAGACGGGUAUAGCGAGCCCGGCCGCAGGCUAGUGCAGCAACACCCCUCGGACCGAGGCAGGGCGCUGCGGUUGCCCUGAGAAGACAGGGAGUAGCAGCGCGGUGAGCCGGGGUCAGAGAGGGUACCCGUGCGGUUGGCCGGAAGGGCCGGGGCCCGCUAGGGAGUCCCUGAGCGGCACCGCACCAUCAGGAGAGUCCCAGUGAGAGGCUGGGUGCGAGAGUGAGAGCCCAGCGUGUGCUACACUUUAGAGGAGGCCCAGGAAGCGGGCGUACAGACCUAACAACGUCUAUUACAUCUGCGAGGCUUGGGGCGUGGUAUUAGGGGCUGGUAGGAGCCACGCACAGCUCAUAAGGCUGGGGUGCUUGAGUAGCACCCAUCGUACGGGGUGACCCACGAGGGGUCCAGGAGCUUAUGUGCCCGAGGAAACACAAGGCAGCCUCCCUAUUACAUAUUCCAGCAGGACGUGGCUGGCGAGCAUGGAGGGUGCCCUCGGGCCGAAGUAGCGUGGUGAGAGGGCCUCAAGGAGAUCACGGCCCUCCUAGAGGACUCCGCCGUGACAGUCUCCACUCUUCAAUUUAAGGGCCAAUUACAUGGGCUCCAUCCUCCCCAACACCCACACCCAUGCCUCACAGAUGUCACAUCUUAAUCAAAUCAUAGCCACCCCUAUGGGCUACAGGCUUCUGGCUCUGUCCAUCCUUGCACCAGCCCCUCUCUGGGCUAUGGACACUCUGGCCCCCUUGGUCUCUGGCUGCAGCUUCAUUCUUUCUCCUUAGACUCUGGGCCUACUCCUACUCUAGUUAAGGCCCAUGAGGUCUCCAGUCUUACCAGUCUUCAGCUAUGGCCCUUCUUGGCCUUCAGCUCUUCCUAAACCCUGACCUCACCCCUAUGCCUGUGAGGCCUAUGGGCACCCUAGCCCUACCCACUCUAUCUUUGGGUCCUUUGCUUUCUCUCUGGGUCCUCUCUCCCUGGGCAAGCUGGGAACCUCCUUACCUCCCCUUAGUCCCUUCCACAAACCACCAGAGUCACUUACCCCAGCUCAGAUGUUACUCAGGAACCCUACUGCCCAAAAGCUCCUUUCUCCACAGCUCUCAGGACUAGCCUGCCUGCCCAGCUCCAGCUCUGGGCUUAUAUCCUGAUAGCCCAGUCCCUGUAGGCUAUGUGACUCCUAAUUGCCCCCUGGCACACCUGCAAGCUGCUUUUCAGGCAGCCUGCCUUCUCCUAAAGUAGCAGGAGCGCACAGCCUCCUGCUACAACCAGGCAGGGAAACACUGCACUGGUGGGAAAUAAAGUCUUUACACAUCCAUUUUGAGUAGAGAUAUGGUAACCCAGGAGUCCUGACCAAGUCAGUCUUUUUCAAUUAUUUAUAAAUAUUCCUAUCAUGGUUAUGAUUUUUAUUACUUUAUUAUUGUUUGUAUUGCCACAGCAUCCAGGAAUCCCAGUCUCCAACUAGGAGCCUAUUGUGCUGGACACUGCACAAACACAAAAUGGGUUCUGAUCUCCAAGGCUGCAUAUGAGCUGUUACAGGUAACAGAACUGCUAUUUUAUUUACCUGUGGCUAACUUGUAGCUUUAUUAAGCCCUACCUGCAGCAGGUGUUUGCAAGACCAGUAAAUUUCUGCUCAGGCAAGAGCACUUUGGCAGGGAUUGACGAGAGCCACUUCCACGUAGUGAUCCCUAGUAGGGUGGCCAUCAUAGAGGACAGUCCGGUUGUCCUCUGUCCUCUAUUGAUAGGAAACUUGAAAAGAAAAAUAGAGGACAUAAAGGUGUCUGGUUUCAUAUCAAUGGAGGACAAAGGACAGAGUAGCAGAAAACCAGAAUGCCCUCUGUCUCAGGGCACCUCAGUGCCUGCUCCUAGGGAGUAGAAACUGCCAGGGAGAGAGAGCCCUGGCAGGACAUAACCAGGCUGAGGCCAGGCUGGCAGUUCCCUGCCAGCAGGUGGAGGGGCAGGAGCUCCUGGAGCUAGGAGGCGAGAAUCACAGGAACCACUCUAGCUGGGUGAAGGAUAGCAGCUCGGAGAGGUUUGAGCACCAUGGUUCUGCCAGGAGGCUUUAUGUUUGAGUUAUAGCCAGGAGGCUCGAGUUUGUGUUUAGGUUUUGAUAUUACACCGGUGGUUUGGGUGAGGCUAUAGGGGUUGGAGGAGGCCUCAUAAAGGGCCCCACAGGAGCGCGGUGUGCCCUGAGAGAAGGGGAGAGCAGCACGGUGGGCCUGAGAGUCAGGGGGCGUUGCCGGAAAGUCCCCAGAGUGGGCGCAGAGAGCCCCAGACAGGGAGGUAUUUUAGAGGCCCGAGUGUGGGCGCAGGGAGAGCCCCAGGAAGGGGGCAUUACCAAGAAGCCCAGCGCGGGCGUAGCAGGCCCCAGGCGGGGGUGCUACUGCGAAGGCCCCAGAGAGGGGCAAUGUUACAAGGAGGCCCCGAGUGGGCUCGGAGAGCCCAAGAGAGGGCAGCAUAGCAGAGGAGGCCCAGAGAGUGGGCAAGAGCACGCAGAGGAGGCCUGAGAGAUGGGCAAUAUAUAUAUAUGAGACAUACCAGCGUCUUUCCCAUCAGCGAGGCUUGGGGCGUAGUAUUAGGGGUGGUAGGAGCCACGCGUAGCCCAUAAGGCUAGGGUGCCCCAAGGCACCCAUGGGUGCAGGAUAAGACCCACGAGGGGUCCAGGCGUUUACGUGCCCAAGGAGACGCAAGGCAGCCUCCCUAUUAUAUUUACCAGCAAGACAUAGCGGGUGAGAAUCGAGGGUGCCCUUGGGCCGAAUUGGCACGGAGAGAGGGCCUAAGGAGAUCACGGACCUCCUAUAGGACCCCGCCGUGAUACCCUCUAUGAUGGCCACCCUAACCCUGGUAACAUCGCUGACAGCCAAGAGCUCCCAAAUUGACAAUGCCAAAGCGCACAAAGAUAAAGAUAUGAACACCAUUUCUGUCAUACAAAAGAACAAGAAGCACUUUGGCCACUGGCUGUUACCAGUUCUAAUAUUCUCUUAUGUCAGGGGCAUCAAACUCACCUGACCAGAUCCAAAACGUGCAGGCUGGAUCCAGAUGUGGCAGUGGGGUGAGUGGCAUCAGGGAGCUGUGGGGGUUAACAAACCUGUUGUUCAUCCCCCAUUGCCUACACACCUCCCUGACAGAGAUCAAUGCUGAAAUUUCAGUGGUGGGCCUGGCCUUCACUUGCCCCCCAAGCCAUGCAGACCAGGUGACAUGACUCCAUGGGCCAGAUCUGACCUGUAGGCCAUACAUUUGACACCCCUGUCUUAUGGAAAGGCUGCCUUGGAUACUGCACGUAACAAUUACAGCACAGAUAGGCAGGACUUAGUGAUCUUGUCCACAGCCUCCACUCUCCCAGUCAGAAAGACGCAAUGUUCUAUCAGAGCAACACCUUGCUACCUUUAAGAUACAGCACCGCCAAUUCAUAGAGAUGCUGCCCGUACUGAUCAUUAUCCCAUUAAUAUCUCAUGUGUAUUUAGUUUUUAAAUGUUGCUUCAAUUAAAACAGGAAGGUUUUAAGAACCAGAUCUUAUUUGUGAUAUGGGAGUGGGUGACGAAGAGACAGUGAGAGAGCAGUGAAUCAGUGACCUUGUCUACAAGAGUUUCUCUCCCAACCCUGCCCCUGACAUUCAAACUGAUAGUAUUGGCUGUGGGAGGCCUUACGUAGACAAGGCACUGCUGUCUGCCACUGAUUUAACUAGUAGGUCAAGAUGUUUUAUAUAAUUAAAAAGCCAGCAGCUUCCUGAAGAUGAUUAAUGAAUGGGAACGAGCCAGAAUGGACCCUGGCUUCUGCUUAACCCACAGGAAUUUUUUUCCCAAUAAUUUUGUCCUUAACCUGUUGACAAUGUUCUGUAUUACAAGGGGAGGAAAUAGUGGGUGCAUCAGUUGCAGUAGUAUAUGCCUGGCCGCUCUCUAAGGAGCUAAGUCAGCACAGUAAAAAGCACAGGAAUUACAAUGAGUAACAGCAAUAACAACAGCUUUACAUCCAUAGUAGAGGAUGGUCAAGGAGGUCAGCAGCAUCAACACUAUUUCACAGAGAAGUAAACCAAGCCAUGGAGCAUUACAGUGACUUGUUUAAGGUCUUCCAGGAAGCCAGUGAGACACACAGGAAAUGAACUGUAAUCUAGGUUAGUGUUAGGACCCUUAUGAGAACAAGACCCUAACACUAGCCACUGGCCUCCACUGCUCUCAUCAGGACAUUGCAGGUUUUAAUUUUCUCUCCCAUCCCUCUGCAAGUUAGGUUGGUGCAAUUAUCCCCUUUUCAGUGCUGGAAACACUGAAUCCUAGGGAGAAGUGACUUGAUCUACAUCAGCCUCAGAAGCAAGAUUGGCUAGAUUACACCUCAGGGCAUCCUGGCUCCUGGUCCCUUAUACAGGCCCCUACAUCUUUAUGUUUCCUUGGUUACAACUUGGAUUGUAACUUGCAGCUUCUGUGCUAUAACUUAGAUGGGACAAGAAUGGACAAAAGGAUGAUUUCCAGACCUUAUUCAGGGAAAUCAGAUAAAAUAGCAUCCUGUGCUUUGAAGCAGUGAACAGACCAUGAAGUACUGAGCAGUGUCAGCAAACAACAGGCAUUGUCAGCAGGCAACAUUUUUACUCUUCCUCAUUUGCUAUCUUUCCCCUCAACAAAGGGUUCUCCUGAAUUCAUGUUGGAACGACUGUCUGCUUCCCCUCUUUCCUUAUAGCUGGCAGUAGCCAUCCUACUCUGCUACUUUCUACAGCCAGGCUUUAAAGCUGACCCAUGUACUAAUAAAACAAGAUGCCUACUUAGCUGAUGAGAUCUGACAAUAUCACUGGCAACAGUAGUAUGAUUACGGACUAAAUAGCACUCUUCUCCUGGCAAGUGUGCCAUCAUUUUCAGUUGUAGAUGAACAAGUGGAAACUUCCUUCAGCAUCUUGUUUUUGCCUCCCAAAGCUUAUAACCGUCACAGAGGAAAAAAAAUUUGUGUCCAACUCCUUUAACAGUGGGCAAAAUCCUUUCUUCAGUUUAACUAAAUGCUUAGCAGACCCUGAUCACUAUGUCAGACUGGAGAGUCUUUACUGUAGCAUGAACAACAGUAUUGUACAAGUCAAGGACAUAUUUACAGCCGUGGUAAUACAGCCCACUUUCUUAUUCUGUGGUGUGAACUAAUCUUGAGUCCCAGGAAUGAAUCUUGAAGCCAACAGAAAACCCAAGAGAAUGCUUUAGCUGUUGGGCUUUCAGUCACAUUGAACGUUCCUCUCUCCCUGUUCUAGAUUGCUGUGCAGUAUUGUGGUGCACUAUGAAUUGACUGCUGCAGUCCACCCUAGAGACAACUGCAUCAAAGUGGGAAGUUACCCAGUAUAAUCACAGGAAAAAAUAUACUUCCUACCUUCAAGAGAUUCAAAACUAAAUAUUCUCUCCCUUCAUUAGCAGCUUGCUGGAUAGGGUUCUUUAGUUUGCUUUCCACGUGACAUCCUUUCAAAUGGGCAGUGCAAAACCAAUGGAUAAAUAUUGUAAAGUGCUUAUGCAUCACUUGAUGUGGAAGGAUCUGUGGAACUAUAACGUUGAAGUGUCUAUCACAGGAGUUCUCAGAUUCCUUAUUAGGACAUAUCUAAUACAAUAGAGGUAUUACCAAAACACAAAUAAGCAUAAUGUUAAGUCUGCAUAAUUAUAUCCUUUACUGCCAUCUGCUGGACAUAUUGGUGAACUUUGGAGCAGCAUUAGUUUGGUUGCUCUGAGUUGUGAGGCAGUGUCUCCUUGGAAAGCAGUUCAUUCUGUAGGAAUAAUGAAGAGGUCUAUUGUUGAUGGAUGCUGCAAGAUUCCUCACUGUUCCAAGUUCAUCCACCUCUACCGCCUGAGAAAAAGACUCUAAAGAACUGUGGCUGUGACUUGGAUGACUACACAGUCCGGUGGGUGGCGAAUUGGCUAGAGGGCCGCACCCAGAGAGUCAUAGUGGAUGGGUCAGUUUUGACCUGGAAGGGUGUGGGUAGUGGGGUCCCGCAGGGCUUGGUCCUUGGACCGAUACUCUUUAAUGUCUUCAUCAGUGACUUGGACGAGGGAGUGAAGUGUACUCUGUCCAAGUUUGCGGAUGAUACAAAGCUAUGGGGAGAAGUGGACAUGCCGGAGGGCAGGGAACAGCUGCAAGCAGACCUGGACAGGUUGGAAAAAAUGGGCAGAAAACAACAGAAUGCAGUUCAACAAGGAGAAAUGCAAAGUGCUGCACCUAGGGAAGAAAAAUGUCCAGCACGCCUACAGCCUAGGGAAUGACCUGCUGGGUGGCACAGAAGUGGAAAGGGAUCUCGGAGUCCUAGUGGACUCCAAGAUGAACAUGAGUUGGCAGUGUGACAAAGCCAUCAGAAAAGCCAAUGGCACUUUAUCAUGCAUCAGCAGAUGCAUGACGAAUAUAUCCAAAGAGGUGAUACUUCCUCUCUAUCGGGCGCUGGUCAGACCGCAGUUGGAGUACUGCAUGCAAUUCUGGGCACCGCACUUCAAGAGGGAUGCGGAUAACCUGGAGAGGGUCCAGAGAAGGGCCACUCGUAUGGUUAAGGGCUUGCAGGCCAAGCCCUAUGAGGAGAGACUGGGGCUCCUGGACCUCUUCAGCCUCCGCAAGAGAAGGUUAAGAGGCGACCUUGUGGCUGCCUAUAAGUUCAUCACGGGGGCACAGAAGGGAAUUGGUGAGGUUUUAUUCACCAAGGCGCCCCUGGGGGUUACAAGAAAUAAUGGCCACAAGCUAGCAGAGAGCAGAUUUAGACUAGACAUUAGGAAGAACUUCACAGUUAGAGUGGCCAAGGUCUGGAAUGGGCUCCCAAGGGAGGUGGUGCUCUCCCCUACCCUGGGGGUCUUCAAGAGGAGGUUAGAUAGGCAUACUGAAUUAAUUUCUUACACUGGUUUUCAAGCCCCUGCGAGUGAGGCAGGGCAACCAUACAGGGGAGCACAAGGUCCCUAGCAAGGUCCUGUCUCAUGAUAAUCCUGGGGUAGGUAAUGGAACAACAUCCCCUUAGUGCCACAGCUGCUGGCUAACUUGUUAGUUUUCUGCUUCCAGAUGGCCAAAGUUCACCUAGCAAAGCUGGAGCCUGAAAUACAAGAGCAGGUGCAUGUGAGUAUGUGUGUAUGCGCGUGUGUAUAAAAAGACACCUUAAAUCUCCUUCCCAAAUGAUAUCUAUUAAACUGAAAAAGCA